GACGAACCGAGCGAACGUUGUUCGGAAUUACUGGGCGUAAAGGGCGCGUAGGCGGUUGGAUAAGUCAGCUGUGAAAACCACGAGCUUAACUCGUGGCCUGCAGUUGAGACUGUCUGGCUUGAGUGUGGGAGAGGAGAGUGGAAUUCCUGGUGUAGCGGUGAAAUGCGUAGAUAUCGGAAGGAACACCAGUGGCGAAAGCGACUUCCUGGUCCAGCAUCGACGUUCAGGCACGAAAGCGUGGGGGAGCAAACAGG
rnacentral:rRNA from 1 species